rnacentral:tRNA from 1 species
GAGCGGCCAGGCGGGCGGUGGCGCGCUCGGCGCGGGCGCCGCGCAGGGCGGUGCGGGCCGGCUCGGCACCGGUGCCGCUCC